UACAGAGGUCCCAAGCGUUGUUCGGAUUCACUGGGCGUAAAGGGUGCGUAGGCGGUCGGGUAAGUCUGAUGUGAAGUCUCACAGCUUAACUGUGAAACUGCAUUGGAUACUAUCCGGCUAGAGGAAUGGAGGGGAGACUGGAAUACUUGGUGUAGCAGUGAAAUGCGUAGAUAUCAAGUGGAACACCAGUGGCGAAGGCGAGUCUCUGGACAUUUCCUGACACUGAGGCACGAAAGCCAGGGGAGCGAACGGG
rnacentral:rRNA from 1 species